CCCUGUGUUUUCCUCUGUCCGUGUGUCAUCGUUACCUCAUGCAGCUGUGUGUCUCGCUGUGCCUUCUUGGUGUUUCCUCUGAGUUUCCAGUUUUAGUUUCUAGUUCUAGUUCCAAAGUUUCUAUUUCUACUUUUAUUUAUGUUUUAUUGUAUUGAGUUUUGCACAGCCAUUAAAGCUGCCUCCUUCAGUUAAACCUUUCGUUUCGAGUCCUGCAUCUGGGUCCUACAUCCUGCCUGCCAAAGCACUAGUCAUGACAAUAAAGCUCAUACCCACAAGAAGAGAAAAGAAUGAUGAGAUUAUUCCAGUUAAAGCCACAGACAGCAGACACGAGACCAUCCUUUGCCAGCAGGAUCAAGGAGGAGAAAAAGGCAAGACAAGAACUGGGCUUACUGGUCUAUUCAGCCCUUCUUGGUAUGAUUCAGAUCUCCCAUUUGCAAACAGUUUGAUCUAAAAGCCAGGAUGCUUGGC